UUAAUUUAAAACUCAAAUAAUCGUUACUUAGGCAGUCAUAAUAACUUAAGACACUGAACGGUUAAGAACUGCCCAAAGCUUUUUAUACAUUUUUAAUAAUAAAAUGAAAAUAUCUAUACAGUUAACAAUACCCAAUGUAACAAAUAGUUCAAUCGGUUUUAAUUUUUGGCAUAAGAGUUUGUUUUUUUUUUUAUUACGGUACAAG